rnacentral:rRNA from 1 species
ACGCUCGACACCUACGAGGCAGCAGUGGGGAAUAUUGCACAAUGGGGGAAACCCUGAUGCAGCGACGCCGCGUGAAGGAAGAAGUAUUUCGGUAUGUAAACUUCUAUCAGCAGGGAAGAAGAUGACGGUACCUGAGUAAGAAGCACCGGCUAAAUACGUGCCAGCAGCCGCGGUAAUCUGAGCGGGCUGGCAAGGC